rnacentral:rRNA from 1 species
AUUGAACGCUGGCGGCAUGCCUUACACAUGCAAGUCGAACGGUAACAGGUCUUCGGAUGCUGACGAGUGGCGAACGGGUGAGUAAUACAUCGGAACGUGCCCGAUCGUGGGGGAUAACGCAGCGAAAGCUGUGCUAAUACCGCAUACGAUCUACGGAUGAAAGCGGGGGAUCGCAAGACCUCGCGCGGACGGAGCGGCCGAUGGCAGAUUAGGUAGUUGGUGGGAUAAAAGCUUACCAAGCCGACGAUCUGUAGCUGGUCUGAGAGGACGACCAGCCACACUGGGACUGAGACACGGCCCAGACUCCUACGGGAGGCAGCAGUGGGGAAUUUUGGACAAUGGGCGAAAGCCUGAUCCAGCCAUGCCGCGUGCAGGAUGAAGGCCUUCGGGUUGUAAACUGCUUUUGUACGGAACGAAAAAGUUCUCUCUAAUACAGGGGGCGAAUGACGGUACCGUAAGAAUAAGCACCGGCUAACUACGUGCCAGCCGCCGCAGUAACAC